UUGACCUCGGAUCAGGUAGGAAGACCCGCUGAACUUAAGCAUAUCAAUAAGCGGAGGAAAAGAAACCAACAGGGAUUGCCCUAGUAACGGCGAGUGAAGCGGCAACAGCUCAAAUUUGAAAUCUGGCUUCGGCCCGAGUUGUAAUUUGCAGAGGAAGCUUUAGGCGCGGCACUUUCUGAGUCCCCUGGAACGGGGCGCCAUAGAGGGUGAGAGCCCCGUAUAGUUAGAUGCCUAGCCUGUGUAAAGCUCCUUCGACGAGUCGAGUAGUUUGGGAAUGCUGCUCAAAAUGGGAGGUAAAUUUCUUCUAAAGCUAAAUACCGGCCAGAGACCGAUAGCGCACAAGUAGAGUGAUCGAAAGAUGAAAAGCACUUUGAAAAGAGGGUUAAAUAGCACGUGAAAUUGUUGAAAGGGAAGCGCUUGUGACCAGACUUGCGCCGGGCAGAUCAUCCGGUGUUCUCACCGGUGCACUCUGCCCGGCUCAGGCCAGCAUCGGUUCUCGCGGGGGGAUAAAGGCCCUGGGAACGUAGCUCCUCCGGGAGUGUUAUAGCCCGGGGCGUAAUGCCCUCGCGGGGACCGAGGUUCGCGCAUCUGCAAGGAUGCUGGCGUAAUGGUCAUCAGCGAC
rnacentral:rRNA from 3 species